AACAAACGCUGGCGGCGUGCCUAACACAUGCAAGUCGUACGAGAAAGGGUCCUUCGGGGCCUGAGUAAAGUGGCGCACGGGUGAGUAACGCGUGGAUAAUCUGCCCUUCAGUUGGGAAUAACUCAUCGAAAGGUGGGCUAAUACCGAAUAAUGCUGUGAGACCUCGGUUGAUCAGCCAAAGAGAGCCUCUGCUUGCAAGCCCUCGCUGAAGGAUGAGUCCGCGUACCAUUAGCUAGUUGGUAGGGUAAUGGCCUACCAAGGCGACGAUGGUUGGCUGGUCUGAGAGGAUGAUCAGCCACACUGGAACUGAGACACGGUCCAGACUCCUACGGGAGGCAGCAGUGAGGAAUCUUGCGCAAUGGGGGCAACCCUGACGCAGCAACGCCGCGUGAGUGAGGAAGGUCUUCGGAUCGUAAAGCUCUGUCGGAUGGAAAGAACCGCAUAGGGGUAAACAGCCCCUGUGUCUGACAGUACCAUCAAAGGAAGCACCGGCUAACUCCGUGCCAGCCGCCGCCGUAAGAC
rnacentral:rRNA from 1 species